GGGCCUCUAGCUCAACUGGCAGAGCAGGGCGCUCUUAACGCCAAGGUUGCGGGUUCGAGUCCCGCGGGGCCCA
rnacentral:tRNA from 1 species